GGAUCUUCAAGGGCUUUUGGGCUUGAUCUUGAAGAAACAGUGAUGAACAGAUCUUCAAGGGCUUUUGGGCUUAAUCUUGAAGAACGGUUGGAUGUGUGUGGAUUUGUCGACGUUUGUUGAUCCAAAGGGCCGUUGGGGCUUGAUCUUGGAUGAACGGAUGAUGAACGAUGGUGCUUUCUUCAAGGGCCGUCGGGGCUUGAUCUUGAAAGAGCGAUGAACGAAGAACGAAGAACGAAGAACGAAGAACGAAGAACACUUUCUUCAAAGGCCGUCGGGGCUUGAUCUUGAAUUGGUGGAUGAUUGUUGAUCCAAAGGGCCGUUGGGGUUUGAUCUUGGAUGAACGAUGAACAAUGAACGAAGAACACUUUCUUCAAGGGCCGUCGGGGCUUGAUCUUGAAUUGGUGGAUGAUUGUUGAUCCAAAGGGCCGUUGGGGCUUGAUCUUAGGAUGAACGAUGAACGAAGAACGCUU
rnacentral:lncRNA from 1 species